CGGUAGGUCAGCAUGCCCCGAAUUAUCUGGGCUACACGCGGGCUACAAUGGGUGGGACAAUGGGUAUCGACACCGAAAGGUGAAGGCAAUCUCCUAAACCCAUCCGUAAGUUCGGAUUGUGGGCUGCAACUCGCCCACAUGAAGCUGGAAUCUGUAGUAAUCGUGUCUCAAAUGGCACGGUGAAUAUGUCCCUGCUCCUU
rnacentral:rRNA from 1 species